rnacentral:lncRNA from 1 species
AUAAAUGAUUCAUUUCAUAAUAUAAAAAUAGACAAAUCCCAAAACGAUACAAAGAUAAUAAUAAGUCACUAAUGGCACUUGGCCUUAUUACAUUUGGAAAACAAGUAAACCUAAUCUAUUUGGCCUUAGAAGGACCUUCCUCAGGUUGAAUGCUCUCGUUGAUCAAAUCCUCCAGUUCGCAUAGGUUCACCAGUAAAAAUGCCUUUUCUAGGUGUUCUCCUUCAUUUCCCUCGGUAUUCUGGCAGUCGGUGACUCUCUUCCUCACUUUUCCUUCUAAUUCCAUCAAACUGUAUUCCAGAUAUUCCAACUUUUUGCUAGCUUUGGCGGCCCUCUCUUUCCACUCAUUCAUUUGGCCAUUCGAUGGAAGACUCCUCCACCAGUUUAACAAGAGUGGGGACGUGCUAACCAUACCGAAACUGGGGACCUCGUGCCUCAUUUUCUGCAAAACAAAAAGGGUUAGACCCUACCCCUACCGGACUCGACUAUUUAUACAUUUAUGAUUAGCACAUCGACAUUUAGUUCUCCAAAUUAAUGCACAAAACGUGGUUGUGUUCGUUGGGAUUACGGAAAACCCGAUGGACUUUGGAUAAGUCUUUAUUUUAAAUGAUCAUUAUGUGAACAACAUAACUAACCCGGCUAGGUUUGACCAUGAUACAUGCGCAAUUUAAACAGAGUAAGGUUUCUAUGGGGUUUUAGACCGGUACCCUUGAGCAGACAACUCAAGGGGGAAGGCACGGAAUUGUCGACUGUACCGCUGAUCGACUAGUUUACUGCAAAUAAGUCUUUCCGAAUUUAUGGGGGUAAUGAUAUAGGAAGGGCGCAACCACUCACCAAGCGUUGCUAUAGUAUUUGUUUGGCACUAGUGGAGUAUGAUGUGGAGCAUGAUUUAUGCAGAAGCUAAUAACAUGUAGGCAAGUAUUUUCACAUUGGAGAAAUAGUUACAGCAUUUAAAUAAUUGAAAAGACAAUUACAAGAAAAGGAAAACAAAGAGACAAGUCAGUUUUUAGGGUAAUAAAGNNNNNNNNNNNNNNNNNNNNNNNNNNNNNNNNNNNNNNNNNNNNNNNNNNNNNNNNNNNNNNNNNNNNNNNNNNNNNNNNNNNNNNNNNNNNNNNNNNNNNNNNNNNNNNNNNNNNNNNNNNNNNNNNNNNNNNNNNNNNNNNNNNNNNNNNNNNNNNNNNNNNNNNNNNNNNNNNNNNNNNNNNNNNNNNNNNNNNNNNNNNNNNNNNNNNNNNNNNNNNNNNNNNNNNNNNNNNNNNNNNNNNNNNNNNNNNNNNNNNNNNNNNNNNNNNNNNNNNNNNNNNNNNNNNNNNNNNNNNNNNNNNNNNNNNNNNNNNNNNNNNNNNNNNNNNNNNNNNNNNNNNNNNNNNNNNNNNNNAAUAUCCCCAGUGGAGUCUCCAUGCUGUCGCGUCCCCUUUUUCCCUCCUCGCGGAGAGAGGUCCGGGUUUCGACAUUCCAUGGGGUGUGAUAACUCAUUUCCUUUUGUGGAAUUGGGUAUUUGAAGAGUCGCCACCAAACGGAUUAUGGUGCGUUAUGGCACCUAGAGUGAUUAACUCUUGGGUUGGUUUGCAUUACCAGAGAUUAGGGUAAGGGCUAGAGAUAACCUCGAGGGGAAGGUGUUAGGCACCCCUCUUGAUCCACAACUGUGAGUCCCGACCAAACUUAUAUUUUUACAAAUUAGUCUAUACAAAUAAUUGAGUCAAAUAGGUGCAGUACAUUUGAACAUGUCAAGUUGUGAAAUAAAGGUUGAACACAUAUGAAGAAAAGUUUUAAACAAGGAGAAGGUUAGGUGGUGAAGAGGGGUGAUAGGUUGUUUAUCCUACAGGAUCACCCCACGCAAUGUCCAGUAACUACUCCUCAAUGAGGGGUUACAUAUGACACUAGUGCAUAGUCAUCAUAUCCCACAUCUACCCUUCCCAUCCCCUUAUUGGUCAUGCAAAGCGAGUGUUGGUCACCGAAUCCUAUUGCGUGCUGCUACCCGUCCUUUCUUAAUAGUCCCGGAGGGAAUUAAGACCUCUUCCUAUAGGCAGUUCUAGACAUACCCCUAAGGCUUAAAGGUAAAACUCUAAGGCGACAGUCAAAUAAAAGCAAUUUAGGACUUUCACAUAAAUGGAGCAAUUAAAGGCUCAUAGUUUCCUCCACAAACAAGCAUACAUGCAGCACGACUCAACCACAAAUAAGGUCUUUAGCAAUCAAAGUCCUAAAGCAAGAUUUCUAAAUGAUUAUGCAGCAAUAAACCACUUUCAGAUGCAGAAGUCACAAGCUAUUAGUUGCCUAGGAUCUCUUUUAAAAGCUCAUUAGGAUUCAGAAACGUUGAGUGACAGAAACAGCUUCAGAGUAGUGCAAGUUUUUGAAAACGCCCUAAGGCUUACCUACAUGCAGGACUGACACUUAUGUUAAUGCAGAAACAAGCAAGUUUUGAAAUAAUACCUCUUAAACCUACAGGUAGGAUAUCUAAUGAGAUUACAUCAGUUUUGAAAGGACUAAUUUUAGAAAAAAGAGUUAUUGCCCGAUUUUGAGAAGUAAACUAGGCGAGGUACAUUCGAUCUAUUAGGCUAAUUCGAAUUACCAAAUAGAAUUGCGAAUUAGAUCAUGGUAUCUAGGCGUAUUACUGUUUUUAGUCAACUUGCAGUAACAUAUGAAAGGCUAGCUUAAUCAAAAUUACACCAUAUAGGCAUAGUAUCUACACUUGAGUUGAUUUAAACAUGAUGAGUUGGAACCUAGAAACAUGGUUUCCACAUGACAAAUGCAGGAUUUAAGAACGUGAUUCGUAUUUGAUGCAAGUGACAUUAAAAGUGAAGUCCUUAUAGGCAUAGUUUCUAUUAUGAUGCAAAUGAGAUUGAAAGCGAAACCCUACAGGCAUGCUUCUACUAUGCAAAUGCAAUCAGCUUCAACAUGAACAGAAACCCUAUAGGCAUGUUCUUUAGUUAGUGAGGCAAACAGAUUCGAAAUUAAAUACAAAAGCAGGAUUUCUACCCAAGUUACCCCAUAAAGUAUAGAUCUACCCAUCCUUUUACUAAAUGCCCUAAAUAUCUGUUUGCAAAUUAUUACAGGCCAACAAAUGAAUUACAUUAGUGAAAUAAAAAUUAAGAAGCCAUUAUAUAGAGAGCCUACGAUCAGGCCAUAGUUACCCAAAGCUUCCAAUGGUUUUCAAUCCUUGUUUCCAUAGACAAAUCAGAGUCUAGGUGCAUCAAAGUUCCCUAAGGGUCACAAGGACCCCGGGCAAUGCUUACACCUAGACUUAAUAGCCAAGCAUUGAACCGGUGCAGUGUGGAAAGCCAGCCUUAGUAUGCCAGAGUUCCAAGGGUUCUCAAGGGGAUCCCAAAGCAGUACACAUACUAGAGGGGGCAGAACUUAUUAACUAGGAGUAGAGUGAAAGUGCAGGACACAUGUUUGAAAGGAGUUUGUUAUAAAAAACCUAGACUGAAAGGUCCAUUUUGAAAGCAAUUAGUAACAGAGAUGGUUGAAAGAAAUUGGAUUAGUAAAACAGAGUUCAAACACUUCAGGGUAAGACCACACAUAGCAAGUGAAUGAAUUCAUUAAUCACACGUGGGGUUAAGGGGGUUUUAGGAUACAUAUACAUUGACUGCAGACACCUGACCCCAGCAGGAGUAUUAUGACCGGUAUAUACAUGCUCAGAGAUAGUUGGAUACUUGCAUAAUCACAAACUAGUCAUGAACACAUAGAGGAAGGAUAGGGGAUUUGGAAUUCACAAAGUGGUCAGUGAACAUUAGGUAAAAGAAUACAAUUGUCCAGCCAUGAUUGAAUCACACAAAGGGAAUACAUGAAUUUAAAGGGAGGGGAAUCAUAUCCGCAUGCUUAGAUAUAGACUUCACAACAAAACCACAAGUAAAAGUAGGCCAGAAAUAAAAGAAACUGAAACAGGAAUAGAAACUUGUUGUUGUUGAGACUUUAAAUUAAACUAGGACAUACCAGUGAAGAUAGAGGUAAGCAAAAUGAAAGAACCAAGGUUUACAGAUGAUUAGCCCUGGCUUGCAGCCGGCUAAUAGUAGUAGAAUAACAUAGAGUUUUUUAAGUAAGAGAGGAGUUUUUGAAAGCCAAGUCUCGUGUCUUGUUAAUGAAAGACUUAGGGUAUUUAUAGAUUUUAAAAUAGGUAGAAAAUAAGGUAACAAGUAAAGGUUUAGCACAAUUAUGAAAGUAAUCACAAUUAGAAUCCAAUUAAUACAAGUACUCCCCUUUAAUCAAGGAAUUACAGCUUAAACGGAUACCAACAGGGAUAACCAAGGAAAGAAAAUCAGUUGGAGAAAGACUUGUUUUUACAAUAUAAGGGGUAGUAAAAGUAUAGAGCAUAUGAUUGAGUCUAAGUACAGAAUACAUUAAUUAGGGAAAGGAUUCAGCAAGAAUGAAGCACCACAACAAAUACGAAAUGGAAUCAAUCAACUUAAACAACCGAGUAAAAUUUUACGAUUUUAUAAGAAAAUCUUGCAAUCAAACCAUAAAUUAAGGAAAUCAGGAUAAAUCAAGAGGGAGUCAUGAUUUUGUACUUCAACAUAUAAAUAGAGAAGAAUGAACAGGCAUAGCAGACAUGCAAGGUCAGUCAUAUCGACAGAAAGAAGCAAGAGAUGAGCAAACCAGAUGGACACAAUCAUACAGAAAUGACACAAGUAGGCUAAGGACUCUGUAGAAAAACCCAUUCGAAGCAUGGUAACCAACUGAAACUUAACAAAGUCAAGUAGUCAUGGCUAACACACACAACCAGAGUGAAGAAAACCAAUCUAACACACAAAAACAAGUAAAGAAGACCAGGCCAACACACAGAAACAAGUAAAGAAAAUCUUUACGAAAUUAGGGCUUUUAACAGAGUUGAGUUAAAAAUCAGUAAGAACUUAGAAUCGGUCAAGAUAAACAAAGAAAAAGGUUUAAUCAUAAAGAAAUCAGUCAAAACAGGUAUAGAAAGAACUCUGAAAACCCUAGUUUCUCAAAAGGAGUAAAAAAUUGUUUAAAGUAGAAGAUCUUUCAGAAGAAAGCUCGAGAAUAAGCAAGUCAUAUAAGGAGAUAGGCUUAAAGCAUAAAAAUAACAUAGAUCUGAGAGAUUCGGAAGAGAGUUAGGGUUUCAAAAAGAAAACCAAGUAAAAAUUAAAGGAACCUAUUGAAACUUCACCGAUCGUGACAUAUAAGGUGUGAUUUUGCCCAAAAUCACACCGGAGACCCAUAAGUAACAGGAACAAAAACUCUAGGUCCAAAUCGACAUUGCCUAGGACCCUUGAGGGCCUUAGAGAUGAUGAGCAGGGUGAUGAGAGACCCAUUGGAGGUUUGGGUUUGAAAGGGUGUUCGCCGGAGAUGACUGGAGAAGGAGGCAGUGAAAAGUGAUUAGGGUUUGGUCGAGAGAGAAGAGAGACGAGAGCAUCUGAGGGCGACACCCUUAGAAAAGUGAAUAGGGUUAGGGGGUCUCUCAGAAUUAAAAAGGAAAGGUUGAAUGAGGGCCGUUGAUCUAAGAGAUGAACGACCAGGAUUUAGGAUGGCUUGGGUCGGAUAGACGUGUAUAGGAUCUGGGUCGGGUGGUUUGGGUGUGAAAUUGGGCUGGAAAGGGGUCCAAUUUUGGGUAAAAUUGAAAGCCGAAUUUGGAUGUUAUUUAAAUAGCCAAUUUCACCUAUUUAAUUCAUAAAACAUAACAGACAAUUUCUAGAAAAUAAAUUUAAGGUGCCAAAAUGAUUUGAAAUACAUAAUUAACCAUUUAAAAAUACGAGAUCUAAUUUUAUGCAUAUAAAACAUAAUUAAAUCUUAAAAGGGCUAAUAUUGCAAUUAUGUGCAAUUUAGCUUUAAAAAUACUAAAUGUAAUUGAAAAUAUAUAUAUAUAUUAACUUAGCCAUAUUUUAGCUUAAUUAAAGAAAUUGAAUAGAUGAAUUAUCAAAACAAUAAUUUUGGAAACAAUUACUGGGAUUUUAUGGAUAAAAAGGAGAAAAUAAGUCAAUUUAAUCCUUUAAAAUUAUGGGAAAAAUAAUAAAAACCUUGGACAUUCUUAUAUAUGCAUAUAUAUGCUAUUUUGAAGGUAGUUAUGCAUAUUUAAAAUAUAUAGGAAAAGAUUGGGUAUCAACACUAAUGUGUUGUUAAACUUUUCGUACUAUUGCUUAGAUGCCUACUUUAGACCAUACAAAGACUUUCUCAAUUUGCAUACUUUAUUCUCCUAUCCUUGGAUCAUAAAUCCCUCAGGCUGAGACAUAUAGAUCUUUUCAUCUAAAUCACCAUUUAGGAAAGCCGUUUUAGCAUCCAUUUGAUGUAUUACUAAAUUAUGAAUAGCGGCUAAAGCAACAAGAGUUCUAAUAGUCGCUAUCUUAGUCACAGGAGAAUAAGUGUCAAAGUAAUUAAUGUCUUUCUUUUGAUUAAACCCCUAAUAACAAGUCUAUCCUUAUAUUUCUUAAUUGUACCGUUAGGUCUCAAUUUCUUCUUAAAUAUCCACUUGCUACUUAUGAGUUUACAACCUUUAGGCAAAUCAGAUAAGUCCCAAGUGUGAUUAGAAACUAUAGACUCUAAUUCACUUUUAAUGGUCUCUUUCCAAAAACUAGCAUCUAUUGACCUCAUUGCUUCACUAUAUGUCGUGGGUUCUUCUUCUAUUAAAUAGAUUGACACUAAUUCAUCACUCAAAAUAUCAGAACCAAUAUUAUCAUUCAAGAAAGUAGUAAUAAAGUCAGGACCAAAGUUAGUUUUAAUUUUACACCUCUUACUUCUUCUAAGUUUGUUUUCAUGCUUAUUAGUAGUAACACUAGAAGAAGGCACAAUAUGAGAAUUAACAGACAUAGAUGUAGAAGCAUUAUUAGGCACAUUAAACCUGCUGGUACGAUAUAUCCAUCUCUAACUCCCGGGCCAUGUUAAUCAUAAUGCUGGGAUGGAGCCCCUCGAUAAACUGAUGGACCCUCUCUCGAAAUGUAGCACCCAAGGCUGGUGCAUGUCUAGACAAAUCACUGAAGCAAAUCGCAUAAUAUGACAGAGUCAUAGCACCCUAGCGCAACUGCUCAAACUUUGGGCGUCAAGCAUCCCUGAGACUCUGAGGAACAUACUCUCCCAAGGACAAACUUGAGAACUGAGUCCAUGUAAGUGAAGCUACCUCAGCCGGACUACCCAACUCAUAAGCACGCCACCACUGAUAGGCUGCCCCUCUAAGCUGGAACGUAGUGAAAGAAACCUCACUCAACUCUGCUACGCCCAUAGUACGGAGGAUACGGUGGCACUCCUCAAGAAUACAUUGGGCAUCCUAUGACUCCAAGCGACUGAAAGUAGAAGGGUGGUACUCCUUGUACCUUUCGAGCCUACGCUGCUUCUCAUCAGAAACUAUUGCCCUACCCUCAGGAUUGUUGAUACUCAAUUUUUUCUAUAUAUUUUCAACAUGAAUAAUACCUUCAAAAUUGCAUAUAUAUGCAUAUAUAAGCAUGUCCAAUGGUUUUAUUAUUUUUCCAUAAUUUAUAAAGGUUUAAAUUAAUUCAUUUUCUCCCUUUUUAUCCAUAAAAUCACAAAUAACUAUUUUCAAAAUUAAUAUAUUGAUAAUUCAUCUAUUGUAUUCCUAUAUUUAUGCCAAAGUAUGUCUAAAUUAAUUUUUACAUAUUUUUAUAAUUACAUUUGGUAUUUUUAAAGCUAUAUUGCACAUAAUUGCAACAUUAGCCCUUUUAAGAUUUAAUUAUGUUUUAUAUGCAUAAAAUUGGAUCCUAUAUUUUUAAAUUUCUAAUUAUGUAUUAUAAAUCAUUUCAGCUUUUUAAAAUUAUUUUUAGAAAUUAUCUAUUAUUUUCUAUAAAUUAAAUAGUGAAAAACUAGCUAUUUAAAUUAUAACCAAAAUUGGCUUUCAAUUGUAGCCUAAAUCAAACGGACCCCCAACCCAAUUUAAAAAUCCACUGGACCCAAGCCCAAACCCAAACCAUACCAGACCCACCUACCCGAUUCAAUCUUGACCGUUGAUCAUUCAGAUCAACGGUCCUCAUUCCCCUUUUCUAAAUUAAACCCAAAUGACCCCCUCCAAACCCUCUCAUUCUCUCAUUCACUCAACCGGUCUCUCAUCUCCCUCUAUUUAUCUCUGGUUCUCUCUAGAACUUUCUCCUUUCCCCUCCUCUCCGAUGAACCUUAUCCACCUUCUCCGGCCAUCUCCCUGCCUGAAUCCAUGGUGGCCUCGCCACCUACCAGCCUUAUGGCUCUUUCUUGAACGUGUGUCAUCGUUUUGAGACCUUCAAGUGAACCAGAGGUGGUUAACUCGCCUCCCAUGGUUUCUCAUGCCAUUUUCUGGCAUCCAUGGCUGUUCGAGUAAGAUCUAUGGCUUUUCCGGCCGAAACCGGUAACAUUCUAAGGUUUUCUCACCUUCUCUGGGCUAUCCGAAACACUAAACUCUAAAUAUUUUUUGAUUUUUUUUAGAUCAGUUUUAGAUCUGUGUAUAUUAUGAGCUUUUAGUGUUUUCCUCAAAGGUUUUUCCCGAUUUUUCCCAAAAUGACUCUUCGUCUUUAAAGACUAGGUUUUCUUAACCUCUUUUUAAAAGACUUCUCUUCUGAUUUUCAAUAUUAUCAUAGGAUGUUAAACGGUUUAUUUAUGUUUUCUUCUACCUAAUUCAUCACGUUGAAAACCCUAAUUAUUAUGGUUUUGUCUAGGGUUCUGGAACAGUCUUUGCUUAUGUGAUUUGUAUGUAUACCUGUUUCGAUUAAUUUCUCUAUGAUUAGACCUUUCUCUUUGUUUAUCUUGACCAAUUCUAAGUUUCUACCGCUUUUUAAUUCAACUCUGUCAAAAACCCUAAUUUCUUAAAGAUUUUUUUCACUUGUUACUGUGAGUUCUUUACUUGUUCUGUGUGUUGGCCUGAUCUUCUUUACCUGUUGCUGUGUGUUAAACUGGUUUCUUCACUCUGGUUCUAUGUGUUAGCCCUGACUACUUGAAUUUGUUAAGUUUUUAUUGAUUACCAUGCUUCGAGUAGGUUCUUUUUGGUCCAUGGCCUACUCAUAUGAUUGUGUUCAUCUAGUUUGUUCAUCUCUUGCUUCUUUUUGUCGAUAUGGCUGACCAUGCAUGUCUGAUAUGCCUGUGCAUUCUUCUCUAUUUAUAUGUCGAAGUGCAGAAUCAAGAUUCCUUCUUGAUUGAUCCUGAUUUCCUUAAAUUAUGGUUUGAUUGCAAGGUUUUCUUGUAAACCCCUAAAAUUUUACUUGUUUGUUUAAGUUGAUUGAUUUCAUACCCUUAUUUGUUGUGGUGAUUCAUUCUUGCUGAAUAGUUUCCUCAAAUUAGUGUAUUCUGUACUUAGACUCAAUCAUAUGCUCUAUACUUUUACUACCCCUUAUUUAGUAAAAAAAAAUCUUUCUCAAACUAAUUUUAUUUCCUUAAUUAUCCCUGUUGAUAUCCGUUUAAGCUGUAAUUCCUUGAUUAAAGGGGAGUACUUGUAUUAAUUGGAUUCUAAUUGUGAUUACUUCUAUAAUUGUGCUAAACCUUUACUUGUUACCAUAUUUUUUACCUAUUUUCAAAGCUAUAAAUACCCUAAGUCUUUCAUUAACAAGACCAGACUUGGCUUUCAAAAACCCUUUUCUCACUAAAAGAAAACUUCUGUGUUAUUCUACUACUAUUGGUCGGCCUCAAGCCAAGGCUAAUCAUCUAUAAGCCUUGGUUAUUUCAUUUGUUUACCUCUAUCUUCAUUGGUAUGUCCUAGUUUAAUUUAAAGCUUAAACAACAAUAUAUUUCUAUUCCUGCUUCAGUUUCUUUUAUUUUUGGCCUGCUUUUACUUAGGUUUUUGUUGUGAAGUUUGUAUCUAAGCAUGCUGAUAUGAUUCCCCUCCCUUUAAAUUCAUAUGAUUCGAGCAUGCUUGGACGAUUGUAUUCUUUGACCUACUGUGCACUUACCAUUUUGUGAAUCCCAAAUCUUAUAUCCUUCGUCUAUGUGUUUCAUGACUGGUUUGGGAUUAUGCCAGUGUCCAACUAUCUCUAAGCAUGUCCCUACCAGUCCUAAUAUUCCUGCUGAGGUCAGGUGUCUGUAGUCAAUAUAUAUGUAUCCCCAAACCCUCUUUUACCCCCAUGUGUGAUUACUGAAUUCAUUCACUUGUUGUGUGUGGUCUUACCCUGAAGUGAUUGAACUUUGUCUUACUAAUACAACUUAUUUCAACCCUCUCUAUUGCUGACCGCUUUCAAAAUGGACCUGUCAGUCCAGUUUUUAAACAAACUCCUUUCAAACAUGUGUCGUGCACUUUCACUAUACUCAAAGAACACUAGGUUCUGCCCCUUUUAUGUGAGCCUUGCCUUGGGACCCUUGAGUUCCCUCUGAACUUGGACACAUGAAAGUUGGCCUUUCCACACUGCACUUACUCUAUCUUGGCUAAGAAAUCUGGGUUUGAGCACUACCCAAGAUCCCUUGAGGUCCUUAGGGAACUCUGACACACAUAGAUAUGAGGAAAAGCUAUGAAACCAUCUUAACACUUGAGGUGAUUGACUAUAUAACUCAGAGAGGAAGUUCUAAUCAGGCUUCCUAUAGUGUAACUUCUUAUUUUCAUUGCCACUUAUAUAAUUUGUUUCAAUAUUGGUCUGUAAUACCUUGUUGUAAACAAGUAUUGGGGUUGGGAUGGGGUAAAUAUGCAUGCUAUAAUUGUUAAGGGGUAUAAAACAUGUUGUUAGGUUUAUAUUCCUAAUUGCGCAAUAGAAACCAUGCUUAGGGUUCAUACAUGCAUUAGAAAUCAUGCUCUUAGGUCCCAUGUUUCUUUCUUCAGCAUCUCAUCCAUCACUAAUCCAUGUUUUAUGUCUAUCACUUAGAAAUUCUGCACCUAGGACGACAACAACAUUGGCAUAAAAGUUGUUACUCUUGUACUUUCAGAAGUCAUACUUCAAUAAUUCUGCAACUCUUAUGUGUAUUAAGAAAUCAUGCCUUAGGGAUUUUUUUUAAAAAUCCUGCCAUCUGCAUGUGCAUAUUAGAUAUCAUGUUCUAUGAUCCUGUUGGCAUUUUGAUUAAGACGCCUAGUUAAUUACUGAUUCAUGAAAAGGUGAUAAAAAAAUAAUCCCACAUCGUGAUGCUUUCUGAAUAAAAUUAGUAAUAAUCUCUACAUUUGUAUCAAUUAGAACAACAUGCUCUUAGGUAAAAACCAUCUCCAAACUAUUUUAAUAAUUCUGAAUAAUUGUUGCAUAUUGCUUUAUGCCUAGCAAGCCUUAGGUAAUUGCUUAAAUAAAAACAGAACUGUCCUUCUUUAAUUGCCAGCAUGAUAAAAUUAGUAGGCAAACCUGAUUCGGACUUCUUUUCUGAGUUAUGUAAUAAAUCUGGUUCUGCUGUUAUCACUUACAUACCAUGCAUAGGAUUUAAAUUCAGACUUUAACUGUGUAUGAUUCAUGAUGUCUAUGUGCAUUACCUGUGGAGGUAUAUUUGAGCCUUUUGUUUGUAUUCCCUGCUCCCCUUAAUUGAAGUCCUACUUGUCAUUGUAUGUCGCCUAAGUAUUUUGCCUUUAAACUGAGGGUCUGCCUAGAACCUCCUUCUUAUAGGAUAGGAAUCCUAAAUUCCUCCGGGACUGAUAGGAACGGAUGUGUAACAUCAUGCAAUAGGGGCCGAGACCAACCCUCACUUUAAUUACCUUCACGAGCGGGAGAGGGUAGAUAUGGAUAUGAUGACCGGUGCGUUAAUACCAUAUGUAGCCCCUCUUUGAGGAGUGUCAUACCGGGUAUUGCAUUGAUGUGAUUCAUAUUACAAAUAAACCUAAGACACCCCUUUACAUUCAUAAGCAUGCUUUGGAUUGUAAUUCUUUACAAAAAUUCACCUUUAACUAAUUGUUUUCAAACACUUGUGUAUUUAAACUUAAAUCUCCAACUAUUUGAGUUGUACUUGUUUAUUUUCUAAUUGCACAAAUUCACAAAAACUGUCUGGCUGGGAACCACACUAGUGGAUCUUGAUGGGUGCCUAACACCUUCCCCUUAGGAUAAUUUCAAGCCCUUACCCUAUCUCUAGUUACCAAACGUAGUUAUCAAUGAACCGUAUAGAUGCCCUAACACAUCUUAAAAAAUCGUUAGGUGGAGACUCUCCAAAAUGCAAUCGCCUUUCCCAAAAGGAAAGAGUUGUCCCAACCCAAAAUGUCAUGAACCCUAUUCGGCGAGGAAAAAAGGGGGCACGACAGCAUGGCGACUCUGCUGGGGAUAUUAAGGCUUUUACCAUUUCAUACCGUUUUGUGAAUUUGUACCCCUCGCUAUGUGCAAUUAUUUGUUUAAUUCCUUUAAGCAUUUAAUUUCUUUUUCAAAAGCAAAACUGACAUAUCUUUCUUGUUUCCUUCCUUUAUAACUGCUUUAAUUUAUGAAACUGAUGUAUUUAUUGCUUUCUUAAUGUGCAAAUACAUGUCAACAUGCUUUUAAUUAUUGCAUAAUCAUGCUCAACAUCAUACUCCAAUCAUGCCAAACAAAUACUAUAGCAACCCUUGAUGAGUGGUUGCGCCCUUUCUAUAUCAUUACCCCUUAAAUUCGGAAAGGUUUAUUUGCGGGAAAACUAGUCGAUCAGUGGUGUAGUCGACAGUUCCGUGCCUUCCCCCUUGAGUUUUCCACUCAAGGGUACUAGUCUAAAACCCCAUAGAAACCUUACUCUGUUUAAAUUGUGCAUUCAUCGUGGUCAAACCUAGCCGGGUCAGUUAUGUUGUCCACAUAAUGAUCAUUUAAGAUAGCCUCGUCCAAAGUCCACUGGGUUUCUGUAAACCCAAACGGACGUCAUCAAGUUAUGUACAUUUAUUUGGAGAACUAAAUGCAUCAUGCUAAUUGUUGAUGUUAAAUAGUCGAUUAUGGUGGGGGUAAGGGCCUAACCUUCUUUUUCUUGUAGAAAUAUGAGGCACGAAGUCCCCAGAUUCGGCAUGGUCACCAACAUCCACCCAAGGUUGCUAAGUUGGUGGAAAGAUUUACAUUCUAGUGACAAAACCCUCGUCAGAAAACAUCUGGGCAAUCUACCAUCCCUCCCAAAGAUCUAGCCUAACAACAUGAUAAUAAAAGUCGCUACAUUAUUUUGGGAUUGUGAAAGGGCCGUGUUCCACUUUGGGGACAUCGAAAUGACUCCUUUGCUAGAGGAGAUAGGGGGACUGGCCGGUCUAGCGUGGAAAACUUCGGGUUUCUGAUGCCUGAGAACCGCACAGGCAAGGGUUUCCUUAAAAUGAUGGGUUUGAAGAAGAAUGCAUAAUUGGUAUACCUGAAGGAAUCGUACAUCCAUUUUGACUACCUGUAUGAAAGGUACGGUCAUAGCAAAUCCUACCGUACCUACCUUGACGAGUUUGCCAUCACGUCCUUGGGGCAUAUUCAUCGUAGGGUAUUCGUCUUCAUGUUUUACUUCCUGGGUUUUAUCGUGUUUCCAAUGAAGAAAGGGAGAAUCCAUACUAGGUUGGCUAUGGAAACCAAGACCCUAAUGGAGGGGAUUGGUGGGCAGCCAUUCAGCAUUGUGCCCAUGAUCAUCGCAGACAUAUACCGAGCCCUAGAGAAGUGUCAACGAGGAGCAAGACACUAUGAAGGCUGCAAUCUACUACUUCAGCUCUGGCUUAUGGAACAUCUCAAAAGGGCGAAUACCGACAAGAAAUUCAGCGAAGGGGCUGGGAUGAUCACAUCGCUUUCCACUAUCCAAAGCGAAUAAAUUACAUCAUCGACAUGUUCGCUCAGCAUGAGAAUGCCAAAGGAUGGGUUGAGCUCUUUGAUAAUCUAACUAAAGAAUAGGUUCAAUGGAUGUUCGAGUGGUUUUCGACAGAGGAGUUCAUCGCCCGAUCCAGAGAUGUACCUUUCCUGACACUGAUUGGUCUAAGAGGAACAUAUCCUUACGUCCCUAUUCAAGUUAUGAGGCAAGCAGGUAGGAAGCAAGUCAUACCCAGGGUCGACAAGAUGAGCCAUUCCGAGCUAACUUCCAAAAUGAUGAUAGUCCCUACAAGUGCCAAGCCCAACACAUGUGGCACUGCAAUACCGUAAUGGGGAAAGACAACAUCGAGCCAGAAAGAUAUCAUGUCGGUUGUAAUCCUUUCUAUUCAGGUUGGUUGGAAGACAAUUGGGAUGGUCUAGGCCAGCCAAGGUUCGUUCGAGGUCACAGAAUUAUAAAUGAAAAGGCCGAGGUGCAAGUUAAGUACAACCAAUUGCGUAAAAGGAUCCGUGAAUGCUAGAGCGAAUACCGCGAGAUACAAGAGUCCAACUAGAAGCUGAUUGAGGAAUGGAAAGACAUGGCUAUUAGUGCCAAAAAAGGAUAGGAUACUUGGAGCGAGGCAUAGUAGAACUAGAGGGAAAAUUUCUCAAAAGGGUUAAAGACUGUCAAAAAGCUGAAGGGACCGAAGGUGGACAUCUAGCCAGAGCAUACCUGUUGCUAGGACUUCGUGAAUUGGGGAAGUUGUUCAAAGGAGCCAGAGAUGCCGAGUCUGGGGAAGGUCCUUCUAGGACCAAAUAGAUAGGAAUUUACUUUUUCGCUUUAUAAAUAUAAUAAGGCCAAUGGCCAUUAGUGACUUUUAUUUCUUGUUUAUUCAGUGUCGUUUUGGUAUUCGUCUAUUUUUAUCAAUAAAAUGAGGCAUUUAGCAUUCUAAGUUCUCCAAAUAGAUUUAUCGCUAAGCCUACCUCGAGCACAAAGGGGUUCCCAAAUUAGGACACACUUUACAUUCUUGCACUAUGUGUUUAAAUAUUGCAAUACUUUUUAUAAUCCUUACUAACUUGAUUACCUUUUGUUUUAUUUUUUGUUUUAUUAUUCCCCUCCCCGAAGGUUAGUUCGUGCACUCUGGCAUCAUCAUCUUAUUUCACUAGAUCCAAGGGCCUUCCACCCACUCCUCCUCUUAGUCCCAUUAAAGGCAAGAAUAAAGGCAAGAUGGAAGAUUUGAACAACAUCAGGAAGAAGAACACCGUUGAACGGGUAGAGGCCACUGAUGGCCAUGGAACACAAACUGUUGAAAUUUCAGAAAGAGCUCGAUCAGGUUUAAAAUCUGGCAAACUUGUCAUUUUCCCUCAACACCCCAGAUAUCAACUUCCCCAGGGCUCAAAACCCUACACCUCCUCAAAAUAUCCCAAAACAAUAGAAUCAUCCCGCUCCUCACCAUCACGUUGCUCCACCAAAGAACCAAUGUAACACCUGCCAUACCUCAAACAACACUCCACUACUCAUCCCAGAACCUCAUAACUCCACAAACUACCAUUUUCACACCCAUACACCAGGCCACCAUAACACUCAUAUCUACGUGGAGACCGUGCCACACCCCACCCAACCUAUCUCAGGCACACCUGAGUCUGAUGAAAAGGAUCUUCUUAUUAGGAACUUGGCCGAAGUACUUAAGAAACUAACCAGCCGAAUUCAGGGAAUUGAGGGAAGCAAAGGAAUUGAGGGGCUGAACUAUGAGGACCUUUGCAUAUAGCCUGAUGUCGAACUGCCUGAGGGGUACAAACCUCCCAAGUUCGAAAUGUUUGAUGGUACUGGUGAUCCAAGGGUCCAUAUGAGGACAUAUUGCGACAAGCUGGUUGGAGUAGGGAAGAAUGAAAGGAUCCACAUGAAGCAGUUCAUGAGGAGUUUGAAAGGAGAUGCAUUAUCUUGGUACAUCAGCCAAGAUCCCAAGAAGUGGUCAAGCUGGGUAAGCAUGGCAUCUGACUUUAUGGAUAGAUUCAGGUUCUUUACGGAGAAUGCACCAGAUGUGUUCUAUAUCUAAAAUUUGAAAAAGAAGUCCACGGAGACAUUUCGCGAGUAUGCUACUCACUGGAGGUCCGAGGCCGCUAAGGUUAGACCCGCCUUAGAAGAGGAGAAAAUGAACAAGUUCUUUGUCCAGGCGCAUGACCUGCAGUACUAUGAAUGACUCAUGAUGAAUGAGAACCACAAGUUCUCCGACAUUAUCAAAUUAGGUGAAAGAAUUGAAGAAGGUAUUAAAAGUGAUAUAGUUACAAAUUUUGAGGCCCUGUAAGCUACAAAUAAGGCUUUACAGUCCGGUGGUGUGUCCAAGAAAAGGGAUGUAGGGGCCGUAAUAAUUGCAUAGAGGACCAAAUCUCCCCUCAAAUACGAAACAUAUCCAACACCUCCACUCACUUACUAGCCAACCCCAAAUUACCAUGCACUCUCACCUUCAUACCAAGCUUUGCCACCAACUUAUCAGUCAUCUCCACCUCCUACAUAUCAACCUACUUCACCUAGAUACUCUCAACCCGCUCAUGUCUACCAAACGUAUAAUGCUCAACCAUCCCAUUAUCAAUCACCAUAUGCCAAAAUUUCCGUAGAUCCCGACCUAAUUUUGAUCGGAGACCUCCGAAACAAUAUAUAGCCAUCGCUGAACCCAUCAACCAGCUGUAUGAGAGACUCAAAGUUGCUGGUUAUAUCACCCUCAUCCCUGCUGCAACCCCUAAGAAUCCUUCUUAGUGGGUUAACCCAAACAAAUCCUGCGCAUACCACUGUGGGUGAAAGGGCACACCAUCAAUGAAUGUCGUUCCUUGAAAGACAAGAUAUAGUCUUUGAUUUAUAACAAGAUCAUUGUGGCAAAGAAACCGAAUAUUACUCUCAACCCAAUCAUAGUCCAGAUCUAACCGUCCGACGACACUGAGGUAAAUAUGUUUGUACCUCUUGAAUUUGAAGCAGCACCACCCGCAAAGACACCGGCACCAAUUGAGGUUGAAUUCGUGUCUCCGACAAAUCCACCCGCACCAUUUGAGGUUGAAGUCUUGCCAUCCAAGACACAUGUUCCAUUGGAAGUAAGGAUAGCCACGCCGAUCCUAGUGGCGAUAUCUACCAUGACACCAUUCUAUACAAAUGUUGUACCCUGGGACUAUACAGCCGAGGCGAGAAGGAAGGGCAAGGUCAGGAUUGAAGAAACUGUCGCAACAUAGGGUAUGACAAGAACUGGUAGAGUCUAUACCCCUGAACAUCUAGUUGAAACAAGCAAGUAGGCCUCCAAUCGACCACCCCUCAUUGAGACAGGUCCGGAUGACCUUUGGAGGAAAAUAUAGGCCAAGGAAUAUUCGGUCAUCGACCAGUUAAAUAAGACGCUAGCACAAAUAUCCAUUCUCUCUUUGGUGCAAAAUUCUGAGGCACACAAGACUUCUUUGUUAAAGGUGCUAAAUGAAGCAAACGUACCAAGUAACAUCACUAGCAGGGAAGUAGCUAAUAUGGUAGGACAAGUUUUGGAAAGCCAUAAGAUCACCUUCAUGAGGACGAGCUUCCAUCUGAAGAGAUGGGGCACAAAAAAGCACUGCACAUCACCAUGCAAUAAGAAGAUUAUUUCAUCACCAGAAUCCUGAUCGAUGGAGGUUCUAGUCUUAACAUUUGUCCGCUGGUAACACUCAAGAAGUUGGGUAAAGGGAUGCAUGAGAUAAAGUAUGGAGCAAUAAAUGUGAAAGCCUUUGAUGGUUCUCAUAGGUCCACCAUUGGUGAGAUUAGUCUAUGCAUGCAGAUGGGACCAACCAGGUUCGAGGUUGAUUUCCAAGUAAUAGAUGUCCAACGUCUUACAACUUGCUGCUGGGACGGCUAUGGAUUCAUGUUUAUGGGGCCGUAGCAUCAACGCUGCAUCAGGCAGAAAAUUUCGAAUCGAAUCACCAGGAAGUGAUCAUUCAUGGCGACGGUAGCAACCCUAUAUAUAGUCUCCAGACCAUUACGGCGAUCAGGGGAAGAAGUAAGCUAGGUGGAGAAACUUACCACCACAUUGAGCGGGUUAAUGCUAUUGACAAAGACAAAUGGUGGGAUAGAAAAAUUGAGAGUAUACCGAGUUAGAGUGGGUACGAACCUGGCAAAAGCCUCGGCAAGAACCUCCAAGGAAUCUCUAAACCCAUAAAACUCAAGAAACAUGGCACUACUUUCGGUCUGGGAUAUGAUUACACUUGGGAAGAAUUCAAUAACUUGUCACCACCAUGGCGCAGUCCUUACUAUCCACUAGAGCAGUCAAUACCGCAUAUGGAGCAGACUUUCCAACAAGCUGACAUUAUUUAUGGGUCAGAUGAAGAAGAAGCACUUGAAGCAGUGAAAAACUUGUUUCUGGCGGACAAUGAUAUAGAUUGUUGCAUUAUUCUUGAGGAGGAGGGGAGGAAGGCCCUUCCAUACAAGCUAUGAGCAGAGAGGCACAUCUCAAUAAUUAGACCCUCAGGACAACCAAAGCCUGACGAGCCUCGGGGUAGAAAGGCUAAAACAAACAUUAUUCACUGUUUUAUUUACUAAAUGAUUUUCUUUUCGCAUUUUUCAAUUCCCGCAAUAAGAUCUUCAGUGUUCAAAACAGUUACUCAAUCUAUCAAAAGCAUUCUGAUUUUUCUUAUGGAUUAAUAUUUAUUGUUAUCGUUUUCUAUCCUUGCUUAACCAAUACAACAUUACUAUUACUUGUCUUGAUGAACUAAUGACUCUGACAUACAAUGAGACAACGUAACAAAUGGACAUGGAUUCGGAAGAAGAUGACAUACCUGACGAGAUUAUCAAAGAAGUUGAGAACUUUGAGAACAGGUCUAAGUCCAACCUGGACGAGACCGAGAUUGUCAACUUGGGAGAUGCAGAAAACGUCAAGGAAACACGGAUCAACAUUCACUUAUCGCCAUCAGAGAAGAAAGAAUACACAGAAUUUCUAAAGGAGUAUGAUGUCAUAUUUGCCUGGUCAUAUGAUGACUUGACCGAUCUAAGUACGUCCAUUGUGGCUCACAAACUACCAACAGAUCCAAUGUGUCCACCGGUAAAGCAAAAGCUCAGAAAGUUCAAGCCUGAUAUGAGUUUGAAAAUCAAGGAAGAAUCCAACAAGCAGAUGAAAGCUAAGGUUCUCAGGGUAGUAGAAUACCCGACAUGGUUAGCCAACAUUGCCAGUACCAAAGAAGGAUGGGAAGGUCAGAGUCUGUGUCGACUACCGGGAUCUCAACCGGGCCAGUCCAAAAGAUGACUUCCUAUGCCAAAUAUACACAUACUGAUUGAAAAUUGCGCCAAGCAUGAGCUACAGUCAUUCGUAGAUUGCUUUGCUGGUUAUCAUCAAAUCUGGAUGGAUGAGGAAGAUGUUGAGAAAACAGUUUUCGUUACGCCAUGGGGAGUGUACUGUUACAAGAUGAUGUCAUUCGGCCUGAAGAAUGCAGGGGCCACCGAGAUGAGGGUCAUGACUACCAUGAUAUGAUACACAAGGAGAUAGAUAUAUAUGUAGAUGAUUUCAUUAUCAAAUCCAAGAAGGCCACUGACCACGUAGAAGAUCUGAGGAAGUUCUUCAAUAGACUGCGGAGAUACAACCUGAAACUAAACCCCGCAAAGUGCGCAUUUGGGGUUCCUGCUGAGAAAUUGCUUGGGUUUAUUGUGAGCCGCCGAGGAAUAGAACUAGAUCCAUCAAUAGUCAAAGCCAUUCAGGAACUACCACCGCCAAAGAACAAGAAGGAUGUGAUGAGUUUUUUGGGAAGGCUUAACUAUAUCGGCCGAUACAUAGCACAUUUUACUGUUAUCAGUGAGCCAAUCUUUAAAAUGUUGAAGAAGGACGCUGCUACCAAAUGGACCGAUAACUGGCAAAAGGCCUUCAACAAAAUCAAAGAGUACCUGUCAACACCACCAGUCUUAGUCCCGCCCGAACCAGGUAGACCCUUAUUACUUUACCUUACAGAAUUAGAUGGAGCUUUUGGCUACAUUCUGGGGCACCAUGAUGAAACGGGGAAGAAGGAGCAGGCCAUUUAUUAUCUCAGUAAGAAGUUCACCCUGUACAAGGUACGGUAUUCUCUAUUGGAAUGCACCUGUUAUGCUUUGACUUGGGUAGCUCAAAAGCUGAGACAUUACUUUUGCGCCUAUACUAAGUAUCUCAUAUCGAGGAUGGAUCCUUUGAAGUACAUCUUCCAGAAGCCCAUGCCCACUAGCAAGCUAGCCAAGUGGAAAAUCCUAUUGAGUGAGUUCGACAUUGUUUAGGUAACUCAGAAAGCAGUCAAGGAACAGGCACUGGCGGACCACCUUGCUGAAAACCCCGUGGAUGGAGGAUACGAACCCUUGAAAACGUAUUUUUCCUAAUGAAGAGAUAUCAUUAAUAGGAGAAGUCAUUACUGUCACACCUUCUUUUUGACUAUACCCCGAGAGGGGUAUAAGGGAGUUUUUUUCAAUUUAAGUGACAAUCGAACGGGAUUUAUUUAUUUAUUCAAAGUCACCACUUGGGAUAAUUUAUGGUGUCCUAAGUCACUGGUUCAAAUCCCGAAUCGAGGAAAGAUUGACUCUGUUUUAUAGUCCGCGAACACAAAAAUCCGGGUAAGGAAUUCUGUUAACCCGGGAGAAGGUGUUAGGCAUUCCCAGGUUCCGUUGUUCUAGCACGGCCACUCAACUGUUAUUAUUGGACUAAUUAUCUGAUUUUAAAACACUUUUAAAUCUAUGUGCAUUUUUAACUUUAAAACCGCUUUUAUUUAUUAUUUUUAGGAAGAUUCAACGUUAUUUAAAAUACGCCUUGAACCACGCCACAUGAAAUGCACCCGUGGUCCAUGACAUAUUUUAUUUAACGUUGUUGAGAAUUGUAGUUGGGUCACAUGAAAUGCACACCCGAGUUUAAGGAAAUUAAUUUAAAUAGCGCGCCUAAAGCAACUACGCACUUUCAAGUUUGCGAGGGCCAUGAAAAAUUCAACUAAUGGCACACCUCGAUUUCUAAAGAGGUAAAAUUGAUUACCCAAGAGCCAUGAUCUUAGGGGUUUUAUUGAGCAUGACAUGCCUCAAAUUAUUGUAACGUGAAUAGACAAAAAUAACCAGAUUUCGCCAAUUUUAUCUAGAAUCAUAAACAUGAAAUCAACCAAACAUAAUUCAUGUAAAUCUUAACCAUUGAUAUGAACAAAACCAACCAAAGAGAAAUCAUGAAUCUCAUAAUCAUACACCUCACAAAAAUAAUGAAAGGACUAAGUAGUUAAACUGUUAAUAGAGCACGACUAGCGUAGUUAACAGCAUCAUGAUCAUGGUCCCUAAGCUUAUUUGCGUCAGUUGUUAGACAAUUAUCAUGUUACUGAAUCAAAAGAAAACAACCACUGUCAAUUAAAAGAAAUCAAUGGCCACUAACAGAUAAAUUGCAAGAUAUGUAAUCCUCACUAAGAUAUAAAGCUACAGUGCAUGGACUUCCAAUCAAAAUUUCUUUCAGAUUUAUUAAUAUCAGAAGCACGUAAUUGAAUCUUAAUGCAUCGAAACAUGUAUUUGUACCCACAUUAAUAAUUAAGCAAACCUCAUCUAAUUUGUAAUCUACUGAUAUUUUUCAUGAUCCAUAUGUUUUAGAUUCCUAUAUCUCUUUUACCCAAGGUUUUCAUCAUACGUUAGUCAACUCAUAAUUAAAUUAAGGGGAAAUCAAGGAGUGGACCUGAAUUUGCAGAACUUUAAUUAAUUCCAGGAGCAAAGAAAUAUAAAUUAACAGCCACGAACGAACCUCGAUCAUCAACGAACACUCAAACAAACCCCCCACACGGGCAAAAUUUAACUCAUCUCCAUUGAAAUUAGAAGGAACAAAACUUCAAAAUUCAAACGACCUCUAUAACAAACCUCGAACAGAGCCUCGCGCCGGCGGAAGGAACAACGAUAUCACAGCAAAUCUAGGGAUAACAAAUCGAACGAAUCUGAGAUGCUUAGACUCCAAAAUGCUGGUUGAAGUUGAAGAAGAAAGAACUGAGGGGUCAUUGGUUUCGUUUUAUCGAAGAAGAAGAAACAACCAUGGAGAGUUCUAUCGUUUUCGCUGAGGAAGAAGCUCGAGUUCGCUGAGGGUGUCUUGUAUGUGAUCAACGGUGGAUCAGAUUUUUUU